rnacentral:rRNA from 1 species
UACGUAGGUGACCAGCGUUGUCCGGAUUUACUGGGCGUAAAGAGCGCGCAGGCGGUCGUUCAAGUCGAGUGUGAAAGCCCCCGGCUCAACUGGGGAGGGUCAUUCGAUACUGAUCGACUCGAAGGCAGGAGAGGGAAGUGGAAUUCCCGGUGUAGUGGUGAAAUGCGUAGAUAUCGGGAGGAACACCAGUGGCGAAGGCGACAUCCUGGACCGGUAUUGACGCUGAGGCGCGAAAGCCAGGGGAGCAAACGGG